GAUGAACGCUGGCGGCGUGCUUAACACAUGCAAGUCGAACGAAGCAUUUGCGACAGAUUUUUUCGGAAUGAAGUUGCUUAUGACUGAGUGGCGGACGGGUGAGUAACGCGUGGGUAACCUGCCUUGUACUGGGGGAUAGCAGCUGGAAACGGCUGGUAAUACCGCAUAAGCGCACAAUGUUGCAUGACAUGGUGUGAAAAACUCCGGUGGUAUAAGAUGGACCCGCGUCGGAUUAGCUAGUUGGUGAGAUAACAGCCCCCCAAGGCGACGAUCAGUAGCCGACCUGAGAGCGUGACCGGCCACAUUGGGACUGAGACACGGCCCAGACUCCUACGGGAGGCAGCAGUGGGGAAUAUUGCACAAUGGAGGAAACUCUGAUGCAGCGACGCCGCGUGAGUGAAGAAGUAAUUCGUUAUGUAAAGCUCUAUCAGCAGGGAAGAUAGUGACGGUACCUGACUAAGAAGCUCCGGCUAAAUACGUG
rnacentral:rRNA from 1 species